CGCGUAGGCGGUUUCGUGUGUCUGCUGUGAAAGCGCACGGCUUAACCGUGAAGGGUCGGUGGAAACUGCGAGACUUGAGGCUGGGAGGGGCCGGUGGAAUUCCCCGUGUAGCGGUGAAAUGCGUAGAUACGGGGGAGAACACUCGUGGCGAAGGCGGCCGGCUAGACCAGUCCUGACGCUGAGGCGCGACAGCGUGGGGAGCAAACA
rnacentral:rRNA from 1 species